GGGUUGUGAGGUUAAGCGACUAAGCGUACACGGUGGAUGCCCUGGCAGUCAGAGGCGAUGAAGGACGUGCUAAUCUGCGAUAAGCGCCGGUAAGGUGAUAUGAACCGUUAUAACCGGCGAUUUCCGAAUGGGGAAACCCAGUGUGAUUCGUCACACUAUCAUUAACUGAAUCCAUAGGUUAAUGAGGCGAACCGGGGGAACUGAAACAUCUAAGUACCCCGAGGAAAAGAAAUCAACCGAGAUUCCCCCAGUAGCGGCGAGCGAACGGGGAGGAGCCCAGAGCCUGAAUCAGCAUGUGUGUUAGUGGAAGCGUCUGGAAAGGCGCGCGAUACAGGGUGACAGCCCCGUACACAAAAGCGCAUGUGCUGUGAGCUCGAUGAGUAGGGCGGGACACGUGGUAUCCUGUCUGAAUAUGGGGGGACCAUCCUCCAAGGCUAAAUACUCCUGACUGACCGAUAGUGAACCAGUACCGUGAGGGAAAGGCGAAAAGAACCCCGGCGAGGGGAGUGAAAAAGAACCUGAAACCGUGUACGUACAAGCAGUGGGAGCACCCUUCGGGGUGUGACUGCGUACCUUUUGUAUAAUGGGUCAGCGACUUAUAUUCUGUAGCAAGGUUAACCGUAUAGGGGAGCCGGAGGGAAACCGAGUCUUAAUUGGGCGUUAAGUUGCAGGGUAUAGACCCGAAACCCGGUGAUCUAGCCAUGGGCAGGUUGAAGGUUGGGUAACACUAACUGGAGGACCGAACCGACUAAUGUUGAAAAAUUAGCGGAUGACCUGUGGCUGGGGGUGAAAGGCCAAUCAAACCGGGAGAUAGCUGGUUCUCCCCGAAAGCUAUUUAGGUAGCGCCUCGUGAAUUCAUCUCCGGGGGUAGAGCACUGUUUCGGCUAGGGGGCCAUCCCGGCUUACCAACCCGAUGCAAACUGCGAAUACCGGAGAAUGUUAUCACGGGAGACACACGGCGGGUGCUAACGUCCGUCGUGAAGAGGGAAACAACCCAGACCGCCAGCUAAGGUCCCAAAGUCAUGGUUAAGUGGGAAACGAUGUGGGAAGGCCCAGACAGCCAGGAUGUUGGCUUAGAAGCAGCCAUCAUUUAAAGAAAGCGUAAUAGCUCACUGGUCGAGUCGGCCUGCGCGGAAGAUGUAACGGGGCUAAACCAUGCACCGAAGCUGCGGCAGCGAACGUAUCACCCAAGACAACUUUACGGAGUUGACGAUUGACGGAGCGAAGCGACGUCAAAGCGUUCAUUAAAGUCGAGUUGGCUUAGGGAUACGUUCGUUGGGUAGGGGAGCGUUCUGUAAGCCUGUGAAGGUGUGUCGUGAGGCAUGCUGGAGGUAUCAGAAGUGCGAAUGCUGACAUAAGUAACGAUAAAGCGGGUGAAAAGCCCGCUCGCCGGAAGACCAAGGGUUCCUGUCCAACGUUAAUCGGGGCAGGGUGAGUCGACCCCUAAGGCGAGGCCGAAAGGCGUAGUCGAUGGGAAACGGGUUAAUAUUCCCGUACUUGGUGUUACUGCGAAGGGGGGACGGAGAAGGCUAUGUUGGCCGGGCGACGGUUGUCCCGGUUUAAGGGUGUAGGUGUGUGUUCCAGGUAAAUCCGGUUCACUUUAACACUGAGGCGUGACGACGAGGCACUACGGUGCUGAAGCAACAAAUGCCCUGCUUCCAGGAAAAGCCUCUAAGCAUCAGGUAACAUCAAAUCGUACCCCAAACCGACACAGGUGGUCAGGUAGAGAAUACCAAGGCGCUUGAGAGAACUCGGGUGAAGGAACUAGGCAAAAUGGUGCCGUAACUUCGGGAGAAGGCACGCUGACACGUAGGUGAAGUGAUUUACUCAUGGAGCUGAAGUCAGUCGAAGAUACCAGCUGGCUGCAACUGUUUAUUAAAAACACAGCACUGUGCAAACACGAAAGUGGACGUAUACGGUGUGACGCCUGCCCGGUGCCGGAAGGUUAAUUGAUGGGGUCAGCGUAAGCGAAGCUCCUGAUCGAAGCCCCGGUAAACGGCGGCCGUAACUAUAACGGUCCUAAGGUAGCGAAAUUCCUUGUCGGGUAAGUUCCGACCUGCACGAAUGGCGUAAUGAUGGCCAGGCUGUCUCCACCCGAGACUCAGUGAAAUUGAACUCGCUGUGAAGAUGCAGUGUACCCGCGGCAAGACGGAAAGACCCCGUGAACCUUUACUAUAGCUUGACACUGAACAUUGAGCCUUGAUGUGUAGGAUAGGUGGGAGGCUUUGAAGUGUGGACGCCAGUCUGCAUGGAGCCGACCUUGAAAUACCACCCUUUAAUGUUUGAUGUUCUAACGUGGACCCGUAAUCCGGGUUGCGGACAGUGUCUGGUGGGUAGUUUGACUGGGGCGGUCUCCUCCUAAAGAGUAACGGAGGAGCACGAAGGUUGGCUAAUCCUGGUCGGACAUCAGGAGGUUAGUGCAAUGGCAUAAGCCAGCUUGACUGCGAGCGUGACGGCGCGAGCAGGUGCGAAAGCAGGUCAUAGUGAUCCGGUGGUUCUGAAUGGAAGGGCCAUCGCUCAACGGAUAAAAGGUACUCCGGGGAUAACAGGCUGAUACCGCCCAAGAGUUCAUAUCGACGGCGGUGUUUGGCACCUCGAUGUCGGCUCAUCACAUCCUGGGGCUGAAGUAGGUCCCAAGGGUAUGGCUGUUCGCCAUUUAAAGUGGUACGCGAGCUGGGUUUAGAACGUCGUGAGACAGUUCGGUCCCUAUCUGCCGUGGGCGCUGGAGAACUGAGGGGGGCUGCUCCUAGUACGAGAGGACCGGAGUGGACGCAUCACUGGUGUUCGGGUUGUCAUGCCAAUGGCACUGCCCGGUAGCUAAAUGCGGAAGAGAUAAGUGCUGAAAGCAUCUAAGCACGAAACUUGCCCCGAGAUGAGUUCUCCCUGAGACUUAGAGUCUCCUGAAGGAACGUUGAAGACGACGACGUUGAUAGGCCGGGUGUGUAAGCGCAGCGAUGCGUUGAGCUAACCGGUACUAAUGAACCGUGAGGCUUAACCUUACAACGCCGAAG
rnacentral:rRNA from 2 species